ACUCUCUCAGCUCUGCAUGGUCACGCUUGUUAUUAUAUGCGUGGCUUUCGUAAUGGGGAGAGAGAGAAAGGAUCUUCUCAGGACCUCAGGGUGGCCUCAUGGUGGCCACUCUUUCCUUGAGGGGUGCCACAGGU
ensembl:snoRNA small nucleolar RNA, H/ACA box 64